UUUUUCAAGGGGACAACUCAGAGCAGGACGCUACUUUGGUAUUUGAGUUGUCUUCCUGAAUAGUU
ensembl:miRNA